UACGGAGGGAGCGAGCGUUAAUCGGAAUUACUGGGCGUAAAGCGCACGUAGGCGGUUGGGUAAGUCGGAUGUGAAAGCCCUGGGCUUAACCUGGGAACUGCAUUCGAUACUGCUCGGCUAGAGUAUGGGAGAGGGAAGCGGAAUUUCCGGUGUAGCGGUGAAAUGCGUAGAUAUCGGAAGGAACACCAACGGCGAAGGUAGCUUCGGGGUCCAAUACUGACCAUAAGGUGCGAAAGCGUGGGGAUCAAACAGG
rnacentral:rRNA from 1 species